rnacentral:rRNA from 1 species
GGAAUUCGAUUAACGCGAAGAACCUUACUUGGGCUAGACAACGGCGGACUGUCCUAGAAAUAGGAUUUUCCCUUCGGGGACCGCCGGUUCAGGUGCUGCAUGGCUGUCGUCAGCUCGUGCCGUGAGGUGUUGGGUUAAGUCCCGCAACGAGCGCAACCCUCGUCCUUAGUUGCCACCAUUCAGUUGGGCACUCUAGGGGGACUGCCGGCGUUAAGCCGGAGGAAGGUGGGGACGACGUCAAGUCAUCAUGGCCCUUAUGUCCAGGGCCACACACGUGCUACAAUGGGCGGUACAAAGGGUCGCAAACCCGCGAGGGGGAGCCAAUCCCAAAAAGCCGCUCUCAGUUCGGAUUGGAGUCUGCAACUCGACUCCAUGAAGUUGGAAUCGCUAGUAAUCGCGGAUCAGCACGCCGCGGUGAAUACGUUCCCGGGCCUUGUCACACCGAAUCACUA